rnacentral:rRNA from 1 species
GCCUACAGUGUUUAGGCUGCCCCUCACAAAUCUUGUCUGAUCUUGGAACCCGAGCUGUUUCUGGUUAGUACUUAGAUGGGAGACUGCCUGGGAAUGUCGGAUGUUGUAGACC